rnacentral:rRNA from 2 species
ACUCCUACGGGAGGCAGCAGUGGGGAAUCUUGGACAAUGGGCGCAAGCCUGAUCCAGCCAUGCCGCGUGAGUGAAGAAGGCCUUCGGGUUGUAAAGCUCUUUUGUCAGGGACGAUAAUGACGGUACCUGAAGAAUAAGCCCCGGCAAACUUCGUGCCAGCAGCCGCGGUAAU